UCUUCGUUUUAUUAUUUCUGAGUGCAAAUCACUCUCUCUCAUUCCCGAUUCCCUUUCUCCUCUUAGUUCUCUCUUAACCUUGAACCUAACGUCCUCUCCUCUCUCUCUCUCUCCAUCUCACAGCCAGCAGCCACGGAGCACGACAGUCCUAGCGACGUCGUGGGUUGCCUCUAGCCACCAAAUGCAACCUCCCUCAUCCCAUAGAGAUCUGGGUUUCAAAUUUCAGAACUCUUAAUUUUUUUCUCAGCAGCCAAACACGGCGUCAAGAUGGGGAUUAUUAGCAUGAUUUUAUUGUACGUGCGUGUUUUCAGUUUGAUGUCCAUGCUUUUCUGAUGUGCAUGUUUUCAUCUUCAGGUUUGUGGUGUUCGAUUUGUGUUGAUCGACUGCAUCUUUAGUUUCAUGGGGGUCCAGAUCUGACUGGUUUUGACAACCUCAGAGAUAUGAUUGAGGCCGAGGCUCUGACUGGUUUUGACAACCGCAGCAAAUGAAAGGAGUUUUGUUCUGCAUUUGCUGCUUUUAUGGGUAAGCAAACCAGGAGCUACCCUGUGAGGGAGAGAAAUGAAGUCAUUGUUCGGAAUCUGAAUUUCCAAGUGAGAAGGAAAGCAAGGAGCAAAAAUGGCAAAGAAUGUGGGAAUUCUUGCCGUGGCGAUCUACUUCCCUCCCACCUGUAUUCAACAGGGAGUUUAACUUAUAUUCAGAACAAGAGAAUUAGAGGAGCAGCAAGCUAAAAGGUUUUAUUUAGAUUUCUUUUUUAGAACACUUUACAAUGGAUGGUAGCAUAGAUAUGUUCUUUCAGUUUUAGUUUUUAGGACUUUAUUAAUGUUUGCUCUUUGUUCUAAUAAAAUUUUAUUUUACUUGUAUAAAAAAGCGUAGGUGUAUCUAUUGAACGACUCCCUUGUACUUAGAUUGCACCUUUUUUGGCUCAUCAAUAAAAGUAUCUCAGUUGAAAUAUUUUUUCUUUCAGAGGUGGUCAGUGAUGUUGUCAGCCAAUAUUUAUUAGUGGAGGAGACUGUUAGUUUGUUUUUACUUUGUGAAAUUUCACUAAUACGAGUCUAAUUAUUUAUGCUUCAAUUUCCGUUAUUGCAACUAUGUGACUAGCCGGAUCUGGAAUGAGACUUGGUUGGCAAGCUUCUUCCACAAACCAUGUAAUUAUGAGUUGUUUGUGAAGCAAUCUCUAAAUAUGGAAAUGGCGAUUGUCAUGGCAAGGUUUAGGUUACUGAAUUUUUAUCUGUUGUAUGACAUGCUUAUUAUAUUUUCUUAAUGUAAUAAGAGGCUAUUCUUCAAGUGUUAUUCAUUUAC